UACGUAGGGGGCAAGCGUUGUCCAGAUUUAUUGGGCGUAAAGAGCGUGUAGGCGGUCUGGUAGGUCCGUUGUGAAAACUCGAGGCUCAACCUCGAGACGCCGAUGGAAACCAUCAGACUAGAGUCCGGAAGAGGAGAGUGGAAUUCCUGGUGUAGCGGUGAAAUGCGUAGAUAUCUGGAGGAAUACCGGUGGCGAAGGCGGCAUCCUGGACCGACAUUGACGCUGAUGAGCGAAAGCUAGGGGAGCAAACGGG
rnacentral:rRNA from 1 species